rnacentral:rRNA from 1 species
UAGGGAAUCUUCGGCAAUGGGGGCAACCCUGAUCGAGCAACGCCGCGUGAGUGAAGAAGGUUUUCGGAUCGUAAAACUCUGUUGUUAGAGAAGAACACGAGUGAGAGUAACUGUUCAUUCGAUGACGGUAUCUAACCAGCAAGUCACGGCUAACUACGUGCCAG